UACGUAGGGGGCAAGCGUUGUCCGGAAUCAUUGGGCGUAAAGAGCGCGUAGGCGGCCCUGUAAGUCCGCUGUGAAAGUCAAGGGCUCAACCCUUGGAUGCCGGUGGAUACUGCAGGGCUAGAGUCCGGAAGAGGAGAGUGGAAUUCCUGGUGUAGCGGUGAAAUGCGCAGAUAUCAGGAAGAACACCCGUGGCUAAGGCGGCUCUCUAGUACGGUACUGACGCUGAGACGCGAAAGCGUGGGGAGCGAACAGG
rnacentral:rRNA from 1 species